AAGUCGUAACAAGGUUUCCGUAGGUGAACCUGCGGAAGGAUCAUUAACAAGAAAUUUGGAUGCGGCCGUGGGCGCAAGCCUGCGGACGUCAUUCAUACCACACAUCUACCUUGUGAACUGUGAACCGAGUGCCUAGGCUGUGCCGGUUUGGCUACGCCUAGGAACCCUUUACAUUAACUGUCUUAAUCAACUGUUGCAGUAUAGCGACACUAAAUUAAUACAACUUUUAACAAUGGAUCUCUUGGUUCCU
rnacentral:misc_RNA from 1 species